rnacentral:rRNA from 1 species
AACGAACGCUGGCGGCAUGCCUAACACAUGCAAGUCGAACGAGACCUUCGGGUCUAGUGGCGCACGGGUGCGUAACGCGUGGGAACCUGCCCUUAGGUUCGGAAUAACUCCCCGAAAGGGGUGCUAAUACCGGAUAAGUUCUUCGGACCAAAGAUUUAUCGCCUUUGGAUGGGCCCGCGUGGGAUUAGCUGGUUGGUAGGGUAAAAGCCUACCAAGGCGACGAUCCAUAGCUGGUCUGAGAGGAUGAUCAGCCACACUGGGACUGAGACACGGCCCAGACUCCUACGGGAAGCAGCAGUGGGGAAUAUUGGACAAUGGGCGAAAGCCUGAUCCAGCAAUGCCGCGUGAGUGAUGAAGGCCUUAGGGUUGUAAAGCUCUUUUACCCGGGAUGAUAAUGACAGUACCGGGAGAAUAAGCUCCGGCUAACUCCGUG